GAAAAAGUUAAUCCGAAUGGGAAUAGCUUCAUCCUCUAACCUUCGCUUUUCCUACUCAUCAUUUUUUGUCUCUUCUCUCUUAAAGCAAUACUUCACCUUCAUAAUCUCUUUUGUCACAAUCCCAUUUUCGCUUGAUUUCUCUCAUCGAGAGUGAUCACAAGAGAGAAUUCAGAGUUCAUACAGGCGCAGCUAGCAGAUCUGCAAGAGACAAACGAUGUCGGAUUGGGGACCAGUGUUCGUUGCAGUAGUGCUGUUUAUACUUUUAACUCCAGGUUUACUGAUUCAGAUACCGGGUCGUCACCGAUUCAUCGAGUUCGGAAACUUUCAGACGAGUGGAGUUUCCAUACUGGUUCACUCUAUACUCUACUUUGCUCUGAUUUGCAUCUUCUUGUUAGCUGUUGGAAUCCACAUGUAUAUUGGUUCAUAAUCAUAAUCACAGCCUUCAUCUUGAUCGGAGAUAUGGAUAUGGAAGAAAUUCAAUUUCUGUGUCUUCUUUAUGGUAAUUCACUUUAUUGUGUUGUGUGGCAAAUCUUAAGAUUUUAUGCUGGUAGUAUAAAAUUGCUGUGAGAAUCAAAUGUAGGGAAUUAUUAUUAUUAUUAUUAUU
rnacentral:misc_RNA from 1 species